GACGAACGCUGGCGGCGUGCUUAACACAUGCAAGUCGAACGGAAAGGCCCUUCGGGGUACUCGAGUGGCGAACGGGUGAGUAACACGUGGGUGAUCUGCCCUGCACUUUGGGAUAAGCCUGGGAAACUGGGUCUAAUACCGGAUAGGACUACGCGAUGCAUGUCGUGUGGUGGAAAGCUUUUGCGGUGUGGGAUGGGCCCGCGGCCUAUCAGCUUGUUGGUGAGGUUACGGCUCACCAAGGCGACGACGGGUAGCCGGCCCGAGAGGGUGACCGGCCACAAUGGGACUGAGAUACGGCCCAGACGCGUACGGGAGGCAGCAGUGGGGAAUAUUGCACAAUAGGCGCAAGCCUGAUGCAGCGACGCCGGGUGAGGGAUGACGGCCUUCGGGUUGUAAACCUCUUUCAGCAGGGACGAAGCGCAAGUGACGGUACCUGUAGAAGAAGGACCGGCCAACUACGUUCCAGCAGCCGCCGUAAAAC
rnacentral:rRNA from 1 species